rnacentral:lncRNA from 1 species
GGGAAGAGGGCAUUUUCAGCUAUUUUCAAAAAACGCUAUGCCUGUGGAAUGUGUGUGUGUUGGCAUGAUUGGAAGAACUUCUCAUCAGUCAGAUGCUGAGGAAACUAACUGGAGGAUGGAUGCCUGGAACAAAGCAUGUGAGCCAUCUCCUCACCGGAGAAGCUGUUCAGGAAGAGCUGCUUAUGAUGUUUCUCCUUCAGAACAAAUGCCAGUUCCAGACUAGCAUUGUAUAUUGAAAUGUUG